rnacentral:sRNA from 1 species
UGUAAAACUCUUUCUGGAGUCUGUGACCACAUCAUAUCCCUGUCGUCAGAUCCUCUGGUUUCACAGUCUGCUCACCUGGAAGUGAUUCAACUGGCAAACAUUAAACCAAGCGAAGGGCUGGGUAUGUAUAUUAAAUCUACAUAUGAUGGCCUCCAUGUAAUUACUGGAACCACAGAAAAUUCACCUGCAGAUCGGUGCAAGAAAAUCCAUGCUGGCGAUGAAGUGAUUCAAGUUAAUCAUCAGACUGUGCCUCUUAUACCUAGAAGUCCCACAAGCAGCGUUGCCACGCCUUCCAGCACCAUCAGUACACCCACCAAAAGAGACAGUUCUGCCCUCCAGGAUCUCUACAUUCCCCCUCCUCCUGCAGAACCAUAUAUUCCCAGGGAUGAAAAAGGAAACCUUCCUUGUGAAGACCUCAGAGGACAUAUGGUGGGCAAGCCAGUGCAUAAGGGAUCUGAAUCACCAAAUUCAUUUCUGGAUCAGGAAUAUCGAAAGAGAUUUAAUAUUGUCGAAGAAGAUACUGUCUUAUAUUGCUAUGAAUAUGAAAAAG